UUUAAGUAAAGGAUCUGAAUACUUGUUCCACCACUGUGGGUGGCUUACUGACACCCAAAGGACACAUGCCUCAUCUGAACCCCAGUGACUCUAAGUCCUCUCCUGUUGCAAUGUCUCACUGAGCCAUUAUCCACAGCAGACAUUUUGACAUGUCACAUCAGGAAAAGCACAGGUGUAAUUAAUAACACAAAUAACAAGCACAUUCCAUUCAGGUGAAUCAGUCCCAUGGCCCCAGAUUGUGCUUGCUGGCUCUCUGGCACACCCAAGUGGAACUGAGUCAUCAUUAACAAAAUUUGUUUCAGCUGUGGUUCUUCUGCUAUGACAAGUGAAAAUGUCUACUGUGAGAAAGGUCUCCUGAGCUUUGUGGUGUCUUUCAUCACCAACUUUUCACAGAUCAGUAACAGCUCCUUGUUGGCUUCAGUUCAUUUUGGUUAACACAUUAACACAAACUACACUGAAAUAAUUCAGGAGCUUACUGAGGAGCAUCUUCUCUCAUGGAGGGCACCUGAGGAAAUCAACUUAAAUCAACAGUUAAACAAGACUAUUUUAUAUAUUAUUGUAAAGCCAAUAGACUGAAUAUUUUUGUGCUGUGUCACUUUAAAACCAAUAAAUGUCAUUUUUUUUAAAAAUAAUUUGUUGACUGUGUUAAUCUAUUUGAUCACUUGGAUCUGAUGUUCUUAUAAUGUUUAGAACAUGACAUUACAUUCAUUUUACUGACGUGAACAUUGUGUCUUUACAUGUUUUCUGAUGAGUUGAAGAGGGAAAGGAAAGGAGGGAAGACAGAAUAAUAUAAGAUAAAAGGGGGAAAACAUAAGGAAGGAAGAAAAGAAGGAAUAAAAUAAAGGUGGAGGGAAACUGGGGAUGUAAAGCAGACAUGCCAGUACUUCAGUAAAUAACUGGGGGUUUAAAAAGGAAAACCUCCUUUAUGAGGUAUGGCUAUUAAAUAACGAGACUAAUGCUGUAAUACAGUUUUAUUGAACAUAAACAUUUUUCAGUGUCUGUCUCCUUCAACAUACUCCCCUUCUGCAUCAGCAUCUCUUUAUCAAUGGAGACCAUUUCUGCUAUCAUUCUUAUACUGAGUUGUCAAUCAUUUCAAACAAUUUGUUCAAUCUGUUGAAUGUGUUUGAUGUGCACAGAUGCCCAGAAGGUUCAGUCUUGGACAUCCUCUCUGCCUUCACAAAAUGUGCACAUGACAUGUAGUGUUCCCCUUCCACCAAAAAUUUCAAGUUAUAAUGUAAGUAAUGCGUUGCUCAACUUUUAAGCUAAUAAUUUUCUGACGCCUUAGCAAAAAUGUGUAUUUCAAUCAGUAGCCAGCAGUGAACAAAAGACGUCACUUAUUGGAAACUUAAAGCAGUUGCGUGUGAAUACUCAACCUUUAAUAUAUAAAACUCAGUGUGACUGUGACCCACGUGCAGUCUUGUUAUUUAAUAGCCAUACCUUGUACACACUUAUUACAAAUAUGGUUUGAUGGCUGAGAUUCUUGGCAGAUUCCUUUCCAACUAAGAAUUAAAAUAACAAGCAGUAAUUACAAAAACUUUAUUGGUAUCUCCCUCUUCACAAUAGAACAAAAAUCAGAAGAAAAAAGAACUUAGGAUAAUUUGUGUUUCUGAUAAAGUUUCGCAUGAACACAAAAAAAGAUACAGUGGAGAUCAGGAUUUUUUUUACGCUUUCCAUUUCUAAGCUGCAGACUUUCAUUUCUAAACUGCAUUUGAAGAUUUUGAUCAGUGUCAGGCAUAACUGGUAACUGAUAUUCCUGACCCUGAAAUCCUGAAAUUAUUAAAUGCUUUUUCUGUACAUUUUCACUGCUGAAGGAGCUUAACACCAAGGUCAUGUUUAACAGGGCUAACUGGAGUCUUUCAGCAAGCAUACAAACAAUGAAGACGCAGGAAGCGAGGCCGGGGACCAAAUAAAAA